UAUUCAAUAUCGAGGAAUUACUUGAAACAAGCUGCGUUGUCAUGCUAAAUUUGUAAGUUAGUUUUGUUUUACAUCAAGAUGUUUGCACUAGAAACUAGACCAAAAAUACUUUGUAAGAUUUUGUUUUUGCGGUGUUAAUAAUAACCUGUAACUGAAGCAAAACUAGAAUUCAUCUAAUAGAGGCAAACAUUUCUUUGCCUCUCUGUUGCAAUAUACAGAUACAGAUGCAGCACAGUUGCUGGGUUUUGUUCCUGAAUGAUGUCCUUGAUGGGAAUUUGCUGAAUAACAGCAAAGUAAAAAGAGUUUCGACUUCCCUCUGCUUGGAUGCGAUCGAUGCGGCGUGAUUAGAAGUUGAGCUCUGGUGGAGAUUAAGAUCUAGAGCAGGUCUGUGAUGCGUUCUUCCCCUUCACGUCUCCACACAUUUCCAAAGAUAGGUCCCCUCCUUCUCCUAUAGGAGACUCUACAUUUCUCCAAGUUCCCGCCUUUGGGUUCAGGUGACCCCCGACCCCGCGCCCUCCGCCUGUCUGCCUCUGGCGGUAAUAACCAGCCCUGAAUGGACCUGGGCGACCACGCCACAACUAAUUACCCUCAGAGAUGGAGUCGGUGUCUGGUUGUUCCGUUGAAAGCGAGGACAUCGAUCGAGCUGCGUUCAUAUCUCACCCCGCGCUGUGAUGGCGCUAACUGCUCUCACGUGGGUUAACAACGAGCUGUUGAACCGCAGAACUGGACCCGUCAACCUUGAUCCGCUACCGGAUCUCUCAGCGUGGAGUUCAGUCCGUCAGCAUGAAUAAAGCCCAGUGAGAAACUGUCACAAAAAAAACCAUAUCUCCCUGUUGUUUUCCCCAGCAGAUCCCCUCAGCCUCCCUGGACCAUCUUCUCCCUGCCCCUCAUCUUGCUCCUGUGCCAACUACUCACACCUGCUAUCAUCUCAUCUCGUUAGGUCCAUUGUUCCAUUUACUCCCUCCCAGUAUUUAAGCUCCUCUAUCUCAGUCACAACUCUCCAGUCUGUCUCGUUACCCAGCUCGUCAUUGUGCUCGUUGCUAAUCUCAUGUAUCCCCUUUGCUUGUGUUCUGGAUUUCCUUGCACCCUUGGAUUUCAGAUUUUUGUUGUUGGUUUUCUUCAUUGAUAUAUCCACAGUAUACUACAUCUACUGCCGGCUGCGAUUGGGUCCACUCCACACACAUCAUGAUAGUAAGCCAUUUAUGUUGCUUCAUUUGAGCUAAUUAUUAUUAUUGUCUUCAUUUACCACCACUAAUAUACAUAUUUAUAGAUUUGUCUUGCUACAAACAACUAUUUUGCUGAUUUAGAAUAUUUUUUUUACAGAUUAGUAUAAAAAAAUAUCAAAAUAUGUAAUUUAUUAUGCUCAGUUAAAUCCCAGAAUUAUGCAACUGAAACAUUUUUAUCUAGCUUGCUCAUAUAUUAUCGUGGUAUAGUACUUCCUGUUUGUGUCCCGAUGGUCAGAUAUUAUUCAAAUGCAACUAAGCAAUAAACUUUUUCCAUAAGUGUC